UACGUAGGGCGCAAGCGUUAUCCGGAAUUAUUGGGCGUAAAGAGCUCGUAGGCGGUUUGUCGCGUCGGGAGUGAAAACUCAGGGCUCAACCCUGAGCGUGCUUCCGAUACGGGCAGACUAGAGGUGAUGCAGGGGAGAACGGAAUUCCUGGUGUAGCGGUGGAAUGCGCAGAUAUCAGGAGGAACACCGGUGGCGAAGGCGGUUCUCUGGGCAUUACCUGACGCUGAGGAGCGAAAGCAUGGGGAGCGAACAGG
rnacentral:rRNA from 1 species